rnacentral:rRNA from 1 species
GAUCAUGGCUCAGGAUAAACGCUGGCGGCGCGCAUAACACAUGCAAGUCGAGCGAGAGGAGUAGCUCGGUACGAAUCUAGCGGCGGACGGGUGAGUAACACGUAGACAACCUGCCUUGUAGAGGGGAUAGCCGGAAGAAGUUCCGGAUAAUACCGCAUAAUACAUAUUAAUUGCAUGAUUGAUAUGGGAAAGGUGAAUAACCGCUAUAAGAGGGGUCUGCGACUGAUUAGCUAGUUGGAGUGGUAACGGCACACCAAGGCCACGAUCAGUAGCCGGUUUGAGAGAAUGAACGGCCACAUUGGGACUGAGAUACGGCCCAGACUCCUACGGGAGGCAGCAGGUGGGGAAUAUUGCGCAAUGGGGGGAAAAACCCCUGACGCAGCGACGCCGUGUAAAGGAAGAAGGUCUUCGGAUCGUAAACUUAUAUCGAUUGUGAAAAGCAAGGAUGGUAGCAAAGUAAGAAGCCCCGGCUAACUACGUGCCAGCCGCCGC